GGGUUGUGAGGUUAAGCGACUAAGCGUACACGGUGGAUGCCCUGGCAGUCAGAGGCGAUGAAGGACGUGCUAAUCUGCGAAAAGCGCCGGCGAGGUGAUAUGAACCUUUGACCCGGCGAUGUCCGAAUGGGGAAACCCAGUGCAAUUCGUUGCACUAUCGUUAACUGAAUACAUAGGUUAACGAGGCGAACCGGGGGAACUGAAACAUCUAAGUACCCCGAGGAAAAGAAAUCAACCGAGAUUCCCCCAGUAGCGGCGAGCGAACGGGGAGGAGCCCAGAGUCUGAAUCAGCGUGUGUGUUAGUGGAACGGUCUGGAAAGUCCGGCGAUACAGGGUGAAAGUCCCGUACACGAAAAUGCACAUGCUGUGAACUCGAAGAGUAGGGCGGGACACGUGGUAUCCUGUCUGAAUAUGGGGGGACCAUCCUCCAAGGCUAAAUACUCCUGACUGACCGAUAGUGAACCAGUACCGUGAGGGAAAGGCGAAAAGAACCCCGGCGAGGGGAGUGAAAAAGAACCUGAAACCGUGUACGUACAAGCAGUGGGAGC
rnacentral:rRNA from 1 species